CUGGCCAUUGGCCUGAACUAUGGAAAGAGUUCCCACUGGGCAACUGCCCCCUGCUCUCAGACUCAAACUGCCACCCAAGAGUGGGCACGAGUCUACAGUGGGCGAUGUCUUGGUAGGGGGCGUUCUGAGUGGGCAAGUGGAGAGCAGCGGGCAGGGGGUGCACAGGGCAGAUGGAGCCUGCUGAGUCCCUUUGUGGGACCUCCUUACCUACUCUGGGAUGAGCACAAGAUCAUACCACAUCAAACCCAACUGCUAUGCUAUCGUGGAAGAGACUUAUUGAUUUGUCCAGAGGCUUUGUAUUUAAUGGGGGAAGACUGUGCGAGGGAGAUAAAGGUGAGAAAUUUCUCCUCGUCCAGCAUCCCUGGCUACAGCUGUGGAGCCUCCAGCAUUCCAUCCUCUUUCCAGAUUUUCCAGGCUCAGAAAGAGCGAGAAACCUGCUAAGGAGACACAGCUGGGGCACGGCAGAGUUGGGAUUUGAACAGUGGAGGCAUAGGACACACAGUCGUGAGCAUGACGAGGGCCACAUCCACUUCCUCUCCUGCAUGUGAACCUUCCAGGGAUCCCCACUGCCUCAAGAAAAAAAAAAAAAAACAACUUGGCCCAGAAGUCUAUAUUCUUCCCAACCUAGUCCCACCUAAUAGCCAGCCUCCCCUCUGCUGCAAGCAUUCCCCAUUCCCACCAGGAAGAAGCUGGCAUGCGCCGUCUCUGCUGCUAAAACUGCUGGCGCCCUACUGGGCCCUUGGGGGUGUGAGUUCCUGACCGUCUGCCUGGACUUGACAAGAGAAGAUAUCAAGCAAAAGUAACGAAAGAAAAAAAAAAAAGACUGCAGGAGAAUGCAGGCUGGAACCUGUCCUACAGAGGUAGACACAGCCUCACCUGGAUGCCAUUGCUUCUCCCAAGGAGAAGCCAAGAGCAGUCACCCCCAUAAGCUGUCACCAGCCCCCUCCACCCCAGGAUCAAAGCAGAGAAUGACACCACUUCAGACCCAGCAGGAGUUCCCCAUAGAGAACUGUUUGCCAGUGAAAUCUCCCCAGAGGCCUCAGAGGGAGAGGGUUUAAACCCAUCCUGCAGAAGGCAGGUGGGAAAUAGGCAGGGGCAACAGCACCCCACAUGGGGAAGAUCUCAUAUGGUGACUAACUGGCUUUUCUAGGCCAUUGUCACCAAUGCCGGAGAAAUAUUCCACUUUAAAAAUAAAUGUAAAGCAAAAUCCAAAAUUAACUCUCCCCAGAUAACCCCUUUCCAAAAAAGACCACAUCGUAAUCCACAUGUGGCCAUUCGCAUACAGUUUAACCCAAGGACAUCUCUCUGUCCUGGAUUGGGAUACUUCCCAGGCCUCCACCCCACACAUCUGGCACUUUGCAAUCUUCUCAGUCCUCCCAUGGACCCCAAUUUCAUGUCUUUCUCUAGGUGCCCCCAGGGCACGAGGGCUGCCACAGAAUCCUUGUGCUUCUCACCCCAAUCUAAAGGUGCUCGAAAACAAGUAACUUCAAGGUGUCCUUGCCACACCGACUGAUAACAAUAAAUGCAUACAGGGAGUCA